rnacentral:piRNA from 1 species
UAUUGAUGUUUAAUGUCUCAAUAAACAAUG